rnacentral:rRNA from 1 species
AGGACGAACGCUGGCGGCGUGCUUAACACAUGCAAGUCGAGCGGUGAUCCUCCUUCGGGAGGUGAUCAGCGGCGAACGGGUGAGUAACACGUGGGCAACCUGCCCCUCACACUGGGAUAACCUCGGGAAACCGGGGCUAAUACCGGAUACGACCUCGAGCGGCAUCUCUUGAGGUGGAAAGCUCCGACGGUGAGGGAUGGGCCCGCGGCCUAUCAGCUUGUUGGUGGGUAAUGGCCUACCGAAGGCGACGACGGGUA